CAGGCCGGUGUUCCUGGUUGAGCUGGAAGAGCGGUCCGGGCUGUCGCUGCACCUGGGCUGAGCCUGUGUCCGGUCUGAGCCUGUGCUUGUUCUGGGCUUUCUUCCCGAACGAGUCGAGCUGUCCAUCUACCCUGGGCCGGUGUUCCUGGGUGAGCUGGAAAACAGGCCUGGCUGUUCGUGUGCCUGAUCCGGCUUGCUCCACUGCUGUGUGGGCAUAUGACGCCGGCGUGUUCCGGUGCAGCCGAGGCGUGUUCCGGUGCAGCCGUGGCGGGCUGACGUCUCGACCCAGCUGUCACGCGAGUGGCUCGUCGUGUGCCGGGCCUCCGCCCCGGCCUCCAUUCCCUGCGCCACCCGCUGCUAGAGUCAUCACUGCGACUCCUCGUGAUGUGAGUGUGUGAUACCGACACGCUAUUAGACUCCAUGCGAAAGUGACGCUGUAUAAGCGACAGACAACUAGAAGCCAAUUCUGUGUGUUAUCGUGUUCGUCGUCCUAGUCUCGUCUCCGUGUCAUUAAAGCCUCUCUGUGUUCAUUG